rnacentral:rRNA from 1 species
GUCUAUGGUCAUGCUACCCUGAACAAGCCUGAUCCCGUCUGAUCUUGGAAGUGAAGCAGGCUCGGGCCUGGUUAGUACUUGGAUGGGAGACCACCUAGGAAGACCAGAUGCUGUAGGUG